UGGGCGGCGGGGCUCGGGCGGGCCGUGUCAGGGCUCCAGGCAGGAAGCGGGGCGGGAGCGUUUGGGUUUGGGGCGCGUUUGCUUUCGGUUUCCUCAGCCUGAGCGGCUGCAGGGGGAUGGCGGCCCAGGAGCUGCUGAAGGUGCGCGCGGACUUCGUGGAGCGUGUGCGGAAGCCGCUGAUCUCGAAGCUUCUGGAUGACCUACUGGCCCACAAGGUGCUGAGCCAGGGAGAAGUGGAUGAGGUACAAGAAGGCUAUGCAGUGACAGGUGACAAGGCCCGCUGCCUCAUUGAUGCUGUGCGCCUGAAAGGCUCCAAGGCCAGCCAGAUCUUCAUCGACAGCCUCAGGAAGCAUGAUCACACCUUGGUGGAGCAGCUGGGUCUGGCCACCGGCUCGGGGUCCCCUGGUGUGCAGCCCCCCGUUAGCAUCCAGGGCCAGCAGUGGAUCCGGCAGUGCUCCCUAAGCGAGUACCAGCGCAUCCAGGAAGCAGAGGGAAAUCAGAUCUAUCCCAUACUCUUGCCACGGGAGACACGAACCCGUAGGGCUCUGCUCAUCUGCAACACAGAGUUUGAGCACCUCAGCCAGCGAGAGGGGGCUGAAGUGGAUGUGAAGGAAAUGACGAAGCUGCUGGAGGGGCUGGGCUACAGGGUGGACCUCCAUGAAAACUUAACUUCCCAGGAGAUGGCCGUGGUCAUGAAGGAUUUUGCAGGUCACGAAGAUCAUUUGACCUCUGACAGCACCUUCCUAGUGUUCAUGUCCCACGGACGUAGGACUGGGCUCUGCGGAACCAAGAGCAGAGAUGAGACCACAGACAUCCUUUCCCUUGACACCAUAUAUGAGAACUUCAACAACAAGCACUGCAAGGCACUGAUUGGCAAACCCAAGGUGGUUAUUAUCCAGUCCUGCCGUGGAGACAAAAGAGGGUCGGUGCUGGUGUCUGACUCAGCCAUCUCCGAGAUGCCUGCUCUCAGCUCAGACAGCAUGAACACUGUAAAGCUGGAAUGUAAAGAAAUGAGAUUAAUUCACCUGGAGAGUGAUUUUGCCACUUUAUAUUCCUCCACACCUGAUACCGUCUCCUGGAGAAACCCAGUAAGAGGCACCAUUUUUAUCCAGAGACUGGUAGAGCAGUUUCGAAACCAUGCCUUUAACAGUGACUUGCAGGAGUUGUUCCGAAAGGUCCAACGUUCCUUUGAAGACUUCCCUAAGCAGUUGCCAACACAAGAAAGAACUACAAUGCUCAGGAAGUUCUAUCUCUUCCCAGGCCACUGAUCUGCCUGCCGUGAGUAUCUUCACCUCACACCUCUACAGCAGCCUUUUCUCUGUGGCCCAAACCUGGCAACCUCAGACUGGAAUAAAAUAGUCCAUGGUCUCCUCUCCUUUCCUUUUGUGGCCUGCAACCUCUGAGCAAAUUCUUGCCAGGGAGCAGCGGAUGCCUGUCAGUAGAGCACUGAAUGCAAACAUGGCAAUGGUAAAGAGAUGUUAGUCAAGCAGAGCCUGUGGAGCAUCUCCCCAGCAGUGACGAUCUCCGACAGCCACUUCCACCCUGUCUCUGACUCUACAUGUUAUCUAAUAAAGGGUUUUUAACAUCA